rnacentral:rRNA from 1 species
GGGUUGUGAGGUUAAGCGACUAAGCGUACACGGUGGAUGCCUAGGCAGUCAGAGGCGAUGAAGGGCGUGCUAAUCUGCGAAAAGCGUCGGUAAGCUGAUAUGAAGCGUUAUAACCGACGAUACCCGAAUGGGGAAACCCAGUGCAAUACGUUGCACUAUCGUUAGAUGAAUACAUAGUCUAACGAGGCGAACCGGGGGAACUGAAACAUCUAAGUACCCCGAGGAAAAGAAAUCAACCGAGAUUCCCCCAGUAGCGGCGAGCGAACGGGGAGGAGCCCAGAGUCUGAAUCAGUUUGUGUGUUAGUGGAAGCGUCUGGAAAGUCGCACGGUACAGGGUGAUAGUCCCGUACACCAAAAUGCACAGGCUGUGAACUCGAUGAGUAGGGCGGGACACGUGACAUCCUGUCUGAAUAUGGGGGGACCAUCCUCCAAGGCUAAAUACUCCUGACUGACCGAUAGUGAACCAGUACCGUGAGGGAAAGGCGAAAAGAACCCCGGCGAGGGGAGUGAAAUAGAACCUGAAACCGUGUACGUACAAGCAGUGGGAGCACCUUCGUGGUGUGACUGCGUACCUUUUGUAUAAUGGGUCAGCGACUUAUAUUUUGUAGCAAGGUUAACCG